GUGUCAGACAAACGGUUUGAGUCAGUCAACUGAACUGAAAAUGGAUGAAACGGCUCCAAAAAAUAAUCAGAAUUCCUGUCCUCUUGGUGCGAGACCUUCCUGUUUCUACGUCAGCGAACCCCGUGCGUUAUGUAUAGUAUGUCGGGCAGACUUUAGCGUAGAACACGCGGGUAAAAUGACGUUAGCAAAUAUGCUAAUUAUAGCAAACAUGAACUAUAUAUCUAUGAACAUGAACAGGCUGGCAUGCUAACAACAACGGCUCUUUCCUCGUGAGAGGUGUGACGGAGGCUGUUAAAGUCAGGAAGGCAGAGGGUUAGGCCACUCCAUGAUGAGCCAGAAAAUCUCCCUCUUUUUCAUAGCCCAAUGUCAGGACUUCCAUUUUGCCGAGGCCCCAGAAGGCUCCGUCCAUCAGGCGGCUCAGGCCGUUUCUCUGCAUUUUUAAGGAGCGAAGAGCUUGCAGACCGUGGAAGGUCAGGCCCUCCACUUUGCGAACCCGGUUCCUGCUCAACUCCCUGAAACACACACAAAACACUUACAGAUGCUGGAGGUUGGGCAACUGGAAGAUCUUAGCUGGGAUGGUGGAGAGCCGGUUGCGGUUGAGCCGAAGAACCUGCAGACUGCUGGACAGUGGCGCCUGUAAUGAAAAGCAGGGCUGCGUGCGCUGUUGAGACGCCAUAUUCGACUCUGCAUAUAUCUCACUCAGAUGGCUAAUCAUCUUCACACGUCGGCUCCCAGUCGGAGUGGAGAGAAGCAGGGAUCGUAUUAACAUGUGAACUGAAGGACCUUCACAUAAAAAUGACAGGGGAGCUUUAGUAAAAUUCGGGAGGUAUCAGUGUUUCUGUAUUGCCUACAAGACUGAAAAAAACAUCAAAUUACGGGUGUAAGAUAAGUUCCUAAAUGCA